AGUGAACGCUGGCGGCAGGCCUAACACAUGCAAGUCGAACGGCAACACACUAAGAGCUUGCUCUUACGGGUGGCGAGUGGCGGACGGGUGAGGAAUACAUCGGAAUCUACUUUUUCGUGGAGGAUAACGUAGGGUAACUUACGCUAAUACCGCAUACGACCUACGGGUGAAAGCAGGGGAUCGUCGGACCUUGCGCGAUUGAAUGAGCCGAUGUCGGAUUAGCUAGUUGGCGGGGUAAAGGCCCACCAAGGCGACGAUCCGUAGCUGGUCUGAGAGGAUGAUCAGCCACACUGGAACUGAGACACGGUCCAGACUCCUACGGGAGGCAGCAGUGGGGAAUAUUGGACAAUGGGCGCAAGCCUGAUCCAGCCAUGCCGCGUGGGUGAAGAAGGCCUUCGGGUUGUAAAGCCCUUUUGGUAGGAAAGAAAAGCAGCAGGUUAAUACCCCGCUGUUCUGACGGUACCCAAAGAAUAAGCACCGGCUAACUUCGUG
rnacentral:rRNA from 1 species